rnacentral:rRNA from 1 species
CCUACGGGGGGCAGCAGUGGGGAAUAUUGCACAAUGGGGGAAACCCUGAUGCAGCGACGCCGCGUGAGUGAAGAAGUAUUUCGGUACGUAAAGCUCUAUCAGCAGGGAAGCAAAUGACGGUACCUGACUAAGAAGCCCCGGCUAACUAAGUGCCAGCAGCCGCGGUAAUACGUAGGGGGCAAGCGUUAUCCGGAUUUACUGGGUGUAAAGGGAGCGUAGACGGCAGCGCAAGUCUGGAGUGAAGUCCCAUGGCUUAACCAUGGAACUGCUUUGGAAACUGUGCAGCUAGAGUGCAGGAGAGGUAAGCGGAAUUCCUAGUGUAGCGGUGAAAUGCGUAGAUAUUAGGAGGAACACCAGUGGCGAAGGCGGCUUACUGGACUGUAACUGACGUUGAGGCUCGAAAGCGUGGGGAGCAAACAGGAUUAGAUACCCUUGUAGUC